rnacentral:lncRNA from 1 species
AAGAAAAAGAGAGAACAGUAUGUCUUUUUUAUUACCAUUGAAAAAUUCUUCAUGUUGGCAUUCUGAAAGUGACCAUUAAUAGUACAUUUGUAGAACUAGAUACAGAGAAGGAACAUGUGCUAAAGACUUGAUUUCUAUAAAAAAUGAUGCAAUGAGUUUACUUUUUCCUUUUCUUUCCUUCAGUGAUUACCAGUUAAGAGAAUGAGAUUCCUACAUUUGGAACCAGUGGCGUCAACAUAUCAAAGAAGGAAGGGGAAAGAAGAAGAGGGAGAGAUACAGCGAAGAAGAAAAGUAGAGUUAAACAGAGUCCUUAACCACUUGGCCACGAAGGGUCUCGUCGCCACAUGUCAGACCUAAGCGGCAGAUGGUUUCCAUUUGGUCUAUUUCCUGAAGUUUCAAAUCCAUAUUUUCAAAUGUAAGUAAUUUUCAAUGAACCACUUCAGAGCUUUGUUUCUGGAGUGUUGCAGCUAUCAC